CACCUACUCCCUCCGUCCGAAAAUACUUGUCAUCAAAAUGGACAAAAAAGAAUGUAUCUAAAACUAAAAUACAUCUAGAUACAUCCCCUUUUAUUCAUUUUGAUGACAAGUAUUUCCGGACGGAGGGAGUAGGAG
rnacentral:pre_miRNA from 1 species